rnacentral:rRNA from 1 species
UGGGGAAUAUUGCACAAUGGGGGAAACCCUGAUGCAGCGACGCCGCGUGAGCGAAGAAGGCCUUCGGGUCGUAAAGCUCUUUUAUGAGGGAAGAUAAUGACGGUACCUCAAGAAAAAGCCCCGGCUAACUACGUGCCAGCAGCCGCGGUAAUACGUAGGGGGCUAGCGUUGUCCGGAAUCACUGGGCGUAAAGGGUUCGCAGGCGGAAUAACAAGUCAGAUGUGAAAGGCAUGGGCUCAACCCAUGUAAGCAUUUGAAACUGUAAUUCUUGAGAAGUGGAGAGGUAGGUGGAAUUCCUAGUGUAGCGGUGAAAUGCGUACAUAUUAGGAGGAAUACCUGUGGCGAAGGCGACUUACAGGACACAAAUCUGACGCUGAGGAACGAAAGCGUGGGUAGCAAACAGG